AAUAUUAUAAUCCCAAAGACAAAUAAUCUUCCUCCUAAGCAAGUAACAUUAGAAAGAUGUUUAUAUGUAUAUAACCUACAAAGAGAUUAAAGCUGUACCUAUAACAGUAUGACGAAUAAUGCAUGAUACACAAUGUUCAAACUGUUCCGAAAUCCGUAGAAUAUUUCAUAUUUUUGAAAAAUCAGAAUCUGACGCUAGGUCCAAAGCAGAAAAUAAAAAAAGAGACUGAUUAUUCCAAAGAAAUUGACGUCUAGCGAUACUAAUGACAGUUUCGAAUUUGAAGAAAAAAAACCAAAAAAAGGUAAAAUUAUAGAAAAUAUGGUUCAGUGCAUUAACAGUCAAGAAACGAUUAAAAAAUACAAUGAACAGAUACAUAUUAAUAGUCGAAAGAGAUUUAGCUUUAAUAAUACAGACAAUAGUGUGGCUGAAGUAAGCGUAUCCGACUUGAAUAAAAAUCACAGUCAACCUGUUCUUUUAGAAGAUUGUCAAAAAUUCGAUGGUUUGAAAAAAAGAAAUGCAGUAAAUCAUAAAGAAAAUGAAGUACAUCCUUCUGAGCCCUUUCAUUUUUCAACUCCAAAAACGCAACAACUUCUUAUUCCGUUCCAGUCAUCACAAACAGAUAUCUCACCAAUAGGAGGCUCUUCAAAUCUGUCUGGAUCUAAACAUAAACGUAUUGUUAGUCCCGAAAAGGCAAAAGAUUCUGCCUUAUCUCACACGAAGUCUGUUUCCCUUCCCGUUAGUCUAAGAAAAUCGUCGAAGCUGAUAUCGCGCGAAUUGUUCUCUUCUACUCAGACACAUGUAUCGCGCACCACAGACCGAUCGCGCACCCCAGGCGGAAUGCGCACCCCUGAUGUAACGCGUGUCCCGGAUAGAUCGCGUACCAUAGACAGAUCGCGCACCUUAAGCGGAUCGUGAACCCGGCAUGAAUCGCGUACCCCCGAUGUAUCGCGAACCCCAGGUGGACCGAGCACCCCAAGCAAAUCGCACAUCCCAGGCGGAUCGCGCACCUCAGUCGGAUCACGCACCCCAGACAUAUCGCGCACCUCAGGCGGUUCGCGCAUCUUAGGUGCAUCGCGCUACCCAGGUGGAUCGCGCAUCCCCCUAGGCAGAUCGCGCAUCUCAGGCGGAUCGCGCACCCCAGACAUAUCGCGCACCUCAGGCGGAUCACGCACCACAGACAUAUCGCGCACCUCUCGUCAAUCGCGAACCCCUCGUCGAUCGCGAACCUUUCGUCGAUCGAAAACUCCUUGUAGUUCGCGAACCCCUCGUAGAUCGUGAACCCCUCGUACAUCGCGAACUACUCGUCGAUCGCGAACCACUCAUCGAUCGCGAACCCCUCGUCGAUCGCGAACCCCUCGUAGAUCGCGAACUCCUCAUCGAUCGCAAACCCCUCGUCGAUCGCGAACACCUUGUACCCCGCGUAGACAUCAUACCCUACCUGAUAUUCCGACACCACAACGUCCUCAGCAAAAUUAUGAACCUAGACCACGCCGUCCAGGUCCAAGAUGUAGGACACAAAGGAACGAACCCGAGAUUUGAAAUGAAGCAAGAGACAAUGAAGGAUUGUCUGAUUCUGAGCCGUGUGCAGUUGGCAUGGUGAUGCAGUAUAAACCAAAAUUAUAUAGGGCGUAUAAAAAGGCUGGAUAUGAUUUAGGAACAGUCACCGCAGAACCGCAUGAACGGUAUGAAAUCGUAGAUGAUAAAGUUUACCUCGGAGAAAAGGUCAAAGUAGGAAAGGAUACAUGGAGAAUAAUGAAACGUAGCAGAAGGUCAAAAUUUUUAAGAGAUAUAGGGAAUGUGUUUUGGACAAAACGAAUAAUAGCGCAUAGAUGCUUAGACCUUUCUAAAUUAAAAAAUAAAAGAUUUGGCAAUCAGCCUAUACAGUUAUUUUCACCGAAGAAGAUAAAUUUAUAUCUUAGUUUAUACUAGGAUUAUCUAAAUACCUCAAAUUAUUAUAACGAAUUAGAUCGAGACGUUAAAGAUAUAUAUAUUAAAAAUGCAACUUCUAGUUUAAGUUUCCACGAAAGAAAUGAAAGACUUUACCAAAAGCCUAAUUAAUAAUGAAGAUUACUUCUGAAGAAACAUUUAUUUUGUACUUUUAUUAAACAAUACACGAUAUUUUUUAUUAAAACUCGAA